ACCAGAAUUUCCCACAGUGAUUCGAGCCUGCCCCUGUCUUUUCUGAAGCCUGACUGUAGGCAAAGACAGGCACCUAGGGCUCUGGAGAAGUCAGAAUUCUGGAACUUUUCAAAAUCACAUUUGAAAAUAGUAGGAUUCCUUGUCUCUUUCCUUGAAGCUUCAGGUUCCUACCUCAAGUACUCUGCUGGACCCUGGCCUGUUGCUAGGGAAGACAGAGUCCUAUGGUACAAAACUGGCCAGGGUCACCUCCUGGGGGACAGGGAGGUACAGCUCCAACCUGAGGAUCUUUCUUCUAGAGGUUAUAAAAGCCCCCAAAUGGAGGCUCGGUAGACUAAAUGACGUAUUCCCUUAUUUUGAAAUUCUGUGUUGUUAUUAAACUCAUGUUCCUCAAGGAAUUUAGAGAAAGGUUCAUAAUUGUGUUGGGUGAAAGGCAGAAAAUGGAAAGUGAUAUUUAGUUUUUACUAUGUACUAGGGAUAACUAUUAAGUAAAUUUUAGUACAAUAUGCAAGUACAUGAAGAAGAGACAAAUGUUUACAAUCUGAUAUCCUCCUGGUAAGUUUAUGUCUGUGUUUUCUCCAUUUCCCAGGUAUUUAUGCUGGUGUUUGCCUUUUUUUAAAAUCAGGACAAAAUAGCUUUUAAAAAUUAACUGCUAAAUUGAACAACCUAAGAUGGGAAGAGAACAAUUUGCUGCUUACAUCCUGAAUCAGAGAUUCUGUAAUUUCUAAAGCCAACACAUAAAUGACAUGAAGAUUACCUAGAAAGAGUGGAUUUUUAAGCAUAGACCUCACUGCUCCAAGUAUGCUUUGCAAGCUGGCAAAAUCAGCAGUAUCCAGAAGCCUGGUGAAAUGCAGAGAUUCAGGUGCCUGUGGAAAGGCAUUUAUUCUUCCUGAGAAGCCCUAUAGUUUCAACCAAGUGUUUGGACUUUUGUAAAUGAUGAAAGAGGUAACAGAACAGACUGGAGUCUCCUGUCCAGCAGGUGCAUCUGCUGGAUUCCCAGACACCAAAGGUGACGGAGAUGGCCAUCUGUGGACUUCAAAGCAGCAGCAUCUGCAAGCCAAGGCCUCCGAGCCCAUUUAACAAACAUCAGGUAGCCCAAAGACAUGAAGAAGAAAAUGCUUUCACAUCUUCAUAUCUGGGAGCAUUUAGAAAUUCCAAAUAGAUGGUUUAGAAGAGGACAGAAAGAAAUUCCUUUUAUUGCUCAGCCCAUAAAUCAUAGCCACUUAGGUUUAUACCCUCCUAGCCAUUGAUCAUUUCGGUCCCCCUCACUUUCUCCGCCUCUUGAAUAUAUGCAUACACACUCUGAUUAAACAAAGAUCUCUCUCAAUUUGAAGCUGUUUCAACAUGUGUAAGAUCAAAGUGUUGACAUUA